UACGUAGGUGGCAAGCGUUGUCCGGAUUUACUGGGCGUAAAGCGCGUGUAGGCGGCUCGUUAAGUCUGUCGUGAAAUCUCCCGGCUUAACCGGGAUAGGUCGACGGAUACUGGCGGGCUUGAGGGGAGCAGAGGAAGGUGGAAUUCCCGGUGUAGUGGUGAAAUGCGUAGAUAUCGGGAGGAACACCAGUGGCGAAGGCGGCCUUCUGGGCUCUACCUGACGCUGAGGCGCGAAAGCUAGGGGAGCGAACGGG
rnacentral:rRNA from 1 species